UGGUUCUUUUUUAUUUAUUUUAGAGACAGGGUUUUGCUCUGUCACCCAGGCUGGAGUGCAGCGGUGCUAUCUUGGCCAAUGGCAGCCCGACUUCCUCGGCUCAGGCGAUCCUCCCACCUUGACCUCCUGAGUAGCUGGGACCCCAGCACAGGGCCGGGUUCUUGUGUGAUGGACUGAGCCUCUGCCAAUGGGUGCAGCGUCAUGCAUGUGUACGAGUGUGGUGUGCGUGUGUGUGAAGGUGCUCAUGGACGAGGGUGGGCAAAGGUUGCCAGCAGGGCCAGCUGCUGGGCCAGCUCUGGACCCUGGCAGUGUCAUCCUGGAUCCCAGCCUGAGAGCCCACUCAGGGCUGCCCAGCAGGGAGCCCAGGUUGUACACUGCCCAAGGGAGGCUGUUUCCAGGGUCCCACUCAUACUCCAGACAUACGCAACUCAAAAGAGCAUGUGGUGGGCUGGGGCGCUUUAGCCCCCCGCAGCAUUCUCAAGCAACAGGGAGCACCCCUCCCACUGACCCCCACCAAGCCCUGUGGUCACACCUCCAGAGGUGCCAUGCAACCACUCACAGGGGGUACACACGCACCUGCCACCCUGACCUGUGCGGGCUGCACUGUGGGGAGAGCUCCACGCCCCACCCUCACCCACCUCGGACACUGGUGGGUGGAAGCCCACGUCCAGUGAGGCCAAAGCUGAGGUCUGCACCUAGGAGGGGGUGCCUGGUACUGGUGGCCACUGAGAGGCUGUUUGGGGUAGCAGUACCCCCAAUCCCCUGGUCCAGGGAGCAGCCAGCUGUGACAGCCUUCCUGGCCUCGCCUGAGCCCAGAGGACAAGGAGUGCCUCAGCCAUCAGAAUCCCCCGACAGCCUCCCCUGAGGCCCGAGCCUCAGCCUCCAUCCCUCUCAGUGCGAGGCCAGCUAGGGCAGGACCAGGAAGCCAUGCGCCCCCACCGGCCCCUGGUGUCCACCCUCAGGUUUCCUGAGAGCCCUCAGGACAUCGUUCCCUUUCUGAGGUGCCGGUGGACGGGCAGUCCUGGCGCCGCAGGGUCCCCCUUCCCCUCCCUCUCACCCAGUUGGCCCCUCUGGUGCUACAAGGGGAAGGACCCCAGCCCCUCCCCCCGCCAUACCUAGACCACUGAUCCUGGAUGCUAGAGCCCAGCCUGGGCUCCUGCUGGCACGCUGUCUGCUGCCAUGGUGACCGGGCACGUGCUCCAGGCUGGGUGCCCUGCAGUGCUGGUGCUGGUGGUGUGAGCUGGCACAGGCCUGCCUGUGUGCAGCUGGGGGAGAGGUGGCUCCUCACCCUGCUGGCCUGGAGCCCUGGAAACUGGGACAUGGAGCCCUGGGGCAGCCCCGCGGCUGUGGACCAUGCCUUUCCCGGGCCAGCAGCACCUGCAGCCCUCCCUGCAGGCAUCGGAGGAGCCCCUGCCUCAGUGCCAGGCCCUGACUGCUGCCACUCCUGUUGGCAUCCCUGUCUCCAGUGAUUCCCAGGUACUCCACCCUCCUCCUCGUCCCCGUGCCAAGCCCCUGCCCAGACUCUGUUGUCCCCUUGGCCCUGCAGCCAGGUGAGGGCCACCCUGUUGGGCACACCAUGCCUUGAUGUCCUCACUGCCGGCCCAGCACCCCAAGUCCCAGGGGCCCAGCCCCGGGUGUUGUUCCUGAGAACAGACCUGCAGCCUGGCGACCUCAUGAUUUUUUCAUGGCUGAGCUAUCGGCUCUGCUGCAGUUCCACUUACACGGGCAAGGGGGCCGCACUUCUCUUUCUCUGGCCUGGGUUGGUUUACUGAGGCCGGGUUUAGGGUGACAGGCUCCAUAGGCAAGGCAGGGGGCAGGGCAGGGCUGGAAUGAAGAGCUUGGGGAGGGGCUCUCCAGCGUGGCUGCCUGCCUGCUCCGAGAGAACCCCCCUCCCUCCCCCUCCCCGCAGGCAGCUUCCUGAAUUGUAGUUGGGGUUCAUGGCUUGGUGCUCUGGAGCCUCUCCUUGGAACCCUCAGGGCGGACAGCCCACGCAGUCUCCUGGCUUUUGUCUUCUGUGAAAUCAUAAGGUGCUGGUGGGGGGCUGUGCCUGGAAGGGGAGGGGAGGAAGAGCACCUGGCAGGGGACCCUAGGCCUUGCCAGAAAACUCCGGACCCCAGCAAGGACAAAAGUCCCCAAAGGGACCCUGAGGGCAGAAGCAAAGGUGUCUUGACAAGCCCAGAUGCCCCACAACCACUGGGGCGAUGGAGCCUGCGACCCCUGAGCCCCAGGACCUUUGCACAUGCGGGGGUCAGGAGGGGUGUUCAUGAAGACCCCAUGAGCCCCUGGCUGCUUGGGGCUUAGAGUGACCAACAGAUCAACUUUCAGAAAAGAGAUGGCUCUUUACAGCCCAGCUGGACUUACACACAGGUGCACACCACGGACAUGGACACCUGGCGUGGACGAGCCCACAGCUCUGCAGGUGGCAGCCUUUGCCCAGUCCCUGUCCACCUGCAUCUAGACACAGGCCCGCAUAUGCCCUGCCCACGUGAAAUGCCACAUCCACCUGCAAGUCCAGUCGUGCAAGAACCCACCAUCACAGGCACUCAGGGAGUACCUACUGUGUGCCGGGAACCGUGCUGGAGGAAGGCAAGGAAUUAACUCUACCUCUGACUUCUGGGACCAAACAGAAAUGGACCAUUUAUCACUCUACAGUGAGAAGGGCUCUGCACGUGGCCACCAUCGUGGUGUCACCCAGCUCACAGAAGAAAACAUCCUUGUUCUUAGCAAACACACACUGAAAUAGUAAGGGCAUCGUGCCUGAAACCUGCUUCCAAAGGGUUCAGAAAUAGAAGGAGAAUGAUCAGCAAAUGUGUCAAGAUGUUUAAAACUAGUUAAGUUCGAAAUUUCAAAACAAAGGCUGGGUGCGGUGGCUCACACUUGUAAUCCCAGCACUUUGGGAGGCCAAGGCAGGUGAACUGCUUGAGCCCAGGAGUUCAAGGCCAGCUUGGAUAACAUGGCAAAAAUCUAUGUCUCUGGGAAGAUCGCUUGAGCCUGGGAGGUCAAGGUUACAGUGAGCUGAGACAGUGCCAAUGCACUCCAGCCUGGAUGACAGAGUAAGACCUUGUCUCAAAAAAACAAACAAAGAAACAAACCAGGCGCGGUAGCUCAUGCCUGUAAUCCCAGCACUUUGGGAGGCCAAGGCAGGCAGAUCACCUGAGGUCGGGAGUUCGAGACCAGCCUGACCAACAUGGAGAAACCUCGUCUCUAUUAAAAAUACAAAAAUUAGCUGGGCAUGGUGGCACAUGCUUGUAAUCCCAGCUACUAGAGAGGCUGAGGCAGAAGAAUCGCUUGAACCUGGGAGGUGGAGGUUGCAGUGAGCUGAGAUCGCGCCAUUGCACUCCAGCCUGGGCAACAAGAGGGAAACUCCGUCUCAAAAAAAAAAAAAAAAAAAAAAAAA
ensembl:lncRNA